GGAUGUGAGAGGAGGUGCUGGAGCCAGGAGGUUCCUCCAGGCUCCACCGAGUGGAGACCUGAGAUGCCCUCCCAGGGCUGAUGGCAGACAAGGCUGCGUUCAGGAGCGUGGGGUGGAAGAAAGCUUAAAAACACAUACAGCACUUGCAUGGAAACUCCUAGAGGAAAAUGGAACCAGGAAGAAUCAGAACAGUGCCCAGGGGCGCCUCCCUCCCACAGCACAGAGUAAAAAGAGGAUUCCAGUGCUACCUCAAAAUGGGACAUUGCAAACUUGAACAAAACCCACAAAGGAGAAGUUGCCAUGUCUUUCCAGCUUUUGGAACAGCUGGAGCUUGUCUGAAAGAAACCACACCCUGGACCUCCUCAAUAUGUAUUUUGUGUGAUUCUUCAGGGCCAAGUCCACCGAUGUCACAAUAAACAUAUUGUCUCUAAGUUCCAUUAACUUCCUGCCAUAUCUUGGGAGCUUUCUUCCCAGGGGAAGGGAUCAGUUACUUGUUUCAAUGAGAAGAAUAUUGAGAUGCCAGUUAUUUUUUUUUUUCCACAAGGGUAAUGUAUUAUACCCAUAAUUUGUAGAAUAUUUUACUGUACAGUAACUUUUCUAUGUGAUUAUUUGGUUCUUAAUUCAAAACACUGGGUACAUGUUUUCAAACAGCAGGGAGGACAGGAGUUGCAACUUACUGAUGUCCCUGAUAGCUCUUGUCUUCCAUAGCCUGCCCAGUGGGCAUCUUGUUAGAGCCAUAGCAGUUCCUCUCUGAACCUGGUGGUAUUUGUGAUUGUGCCCAUGAUGUCCCAUUGCAGAUGUCUGCAUAUGAUGCUGGCCUCUUGGCUGCAACAAUGUGUCUCCCAGUGCUCCAGUUCUGCAGCAGUGUUUGAAAUUUUCGUGCUGGGUCUUUUAAAUUAUUUCUUCUGCCCACCCUGCUUAGGAUUGCUCAAAAAAUAGCAAAUAACAACAAUACGCCUGCCUUCACUUUGCCAAAAGAAAUGCCUGGGACUUUUCAGAAGCCACAUUCAAUUUAUGAAUAAAUGAAAUGGAUCUUCUCGACCAACCAUGACAAUAAGCACUGGCCUACAUAUUCAGGGCCUGAAAGAAGUUGAGGCAAUGGGCCUAAUGAGAAGCAGUCAGCGAAUCUAAUGAGAAUCAGACAGAAGGCCUAAUGAGACAUUUAACAUGCUCUGCCUCUCCCUCCUCUUUUGUUCAGUUUUCAUGGGAAUCUGUGUUUGGGGAGCUCAGUUGCACUGGCUACAAGCAGAUACAUAUGUCCUUAGUGGGGCGAUCCAGGAAGCAAUAGAAAGAUGCCUAGGGAUGGGGAGGGUGGAUCUUGGAAAAUGUACCCCAAGGCCAUGAUAAUGUGGUGGGAUGGAUUUUUAUUUUAACUGUAUCUAUACCUUUUCCAGAAUAUCGUAGAGCCAUACAGCUAUGGAUGAUGAUACAAUAAACAGGCAAGAGAUUUCAAUCGCAUUAUAUCACUGCUCCUAGGAAAAGAGAGAUAAGAAAAGCAUGCUUUUCUGUUUCUGACCUUUGUCAUUCAGAGAGAACCUCCUGGAAUGUAAGUGUUGCACAAAGAAGGAUACCUGGGAUUGUCUCCGGAUGAGGCAGCAUUGCUUGGAACACUAGGUGUUUUCAUUUGUUGAUCUUGGAUGGGGUUGGCAGCUAGAGAGAGAUAGCUAUCAAAUUAUAGGGUGGGCUGGGCUGAAGUCUCCAUUACCUGUGCUGGAGGCAGGAAAAGGAAAUAGAGAGACAUAUGCCCAUGCCACCGUUAGAAAUUUUGUCUGAUGCAUGGAUUUAACAGUUUGGGAGUAUAGCUUGGUUUUGAGAAAGUAGGCAAGAUUUCUGUUUUAUUUAGCUUGCAAGCACAGGAAAUUUGCAUUGGCCCUUGUCGCCUGCCUAUCUAAUUAACAGAGUCUCUUUGGAUAUACAUGCUCUUUGUUUUAUUUGCUUACCCAAAUAUAUGCUUUAAAUGCAACCCUAUCCCUCUCUCUAUCCAUCUGUUUAUUUAUUUAUGACAAUUCUUCUUUUGGUUGUCAAGGUCCAGCUUCUGCUCGCCCACCUGUAUCUGAGUUAAAUCUGAAGGUAAAUGGAACAAGCUUGCUCUUUGGUGGCGCCACCUAGUGGUCUCCCAUGGCAACACAGUUCUCAGCAAUCAUAAAUGACUAAGGA
rnacentral:lncRNA from 1 species